GGUCAAGCAAAUAAGCGCACACGGUGGAUGCCUUGGCGAUAAGAGGCGAUGAAGGACGUGGUAGUCUGCGAUAAGCCUCGGCGAGCUGACAAACUAGCUUUGACCCGGGGAUUUCCGAAUGGGGAAACCCACCCGCUUUGCGGGUAUCUUGCGCUGAAUACAUAGGCGCAAGAGGCGAACCCGGGGAACUGAAACAUCUAAGUACCCGGAGGAAAAGAAAUCAACCGAGAUUCCCCCAGUAGCGGCGAGCGAACGGGGAACAGCCCUUAAGCUUUGCAAGUUCUAGUGGAAUGUUCUGGAAAGUUCGGCCAUAGACGGUGACAGCCCCGUACACGAAAGGGCUUGCAAAAGUGAAAUCGAGUAGGACGGAGCACGAGAAACUUUGUCUGAACAUGGGGGGACCAUCCUCCAAGGCUAAAUACUCCUUAUCGACCGAUAGUGAACCAGUACCGUGAGGGAAAGGCGAAAAGAACCCCUGUUAGGGGAGUGAAACAGAACCUGAAACCGUGUGCGUACAAGCAGUGGGAGCCCGUUUUCGAACGGGUGACUGCGUACCUUUUGUAUAAUGGGUCAGCGACUUACAUUUUGUAGCAAGGUUAACCGCAUAGGGGAGCCGCAGAGAAAUCGAGUCUUAAUAGGGCGCUUAGUUGCAGGAUGUAGACCCGAAACCGGGCGAUCUAGCCAUGGCCAGGUUGAAGGUCGGGUAAUGCCGACUGGAGGACCGAACCAACUUAUGUUGAAAAAUGAGUGGAUGAGCUGUGGCUAGGAGUGAAAGGCUAACCAAGCCCGGAGAUAGCUGGUUCUCCCCGAAAACUAUUUAGGUAGUGCCUCGUGUUUCACUUCCGGGGGUAGAGCACUGUAAUGGCUAGGGCCGCAUCUCGCGGUACCAACCCAUUGCAAACUCCGAAUACCGGAAAGUGCAAUCACGGGAGACAGACGGCGGGAGAUAAGUUUCGUCGUCGAAAGGGAAACAGCCCAGACCGCCGGCUAAGGUCCCCAAACACGUCUCAGUGGGAAACGAUGUGGGAAGUCUCAGACAGCCAGGAUGUUGGCUUAGAAGCAGCCAUCAUUUAAAGAAAGCGUAACAGCUCACUGGUCGAGUCGUCCUGCGCGGAAGAUAUACCGGGGCUCAAGACGUGUACCGAAGCCGCGGGUGC
rnacentral:rRNA from 1 species